UACGGGGGGAGCAAGCGUUGUUCGGAUUUACUGGGCGUAAAGGGCGCGUAGGCGGCCAGCACAAGUCAGUUGUGAAAUCUCCGGGCUUAACUCGGAAAGGUCAACUGAUACUGUGCGGCUAGAGUGCAGAAGGGGCAACUGGAAUUCUCGGUGUAGCGGUGAAAUGCGUAGAUAUCGAGAGGAACACCUGCGGCGAAGGCGGGUUGCUGGGCUGACACUGACGCUGAUGCGCGAAAGCCAGGGGAGCAAACAGG
rnacentral:rRNA from 1 species